UCAGAAGAAAAAGCGGGCCACU
rnacentral:snRNA from 1 species